GUGAGUGACGGUAAUGGGUAAAGAAGCACCGGCUAACUACGUGCCAGCAGCCGCGGUAAUACGUAGGGUGCGAGCGUUGUCCGGAUUUAUUGGGCGUAAAGGGCUCGUAGGUGGUUGAUCGCGUCGGAAGUGUAAUCUUGGGGCUUAACCCUGAGCGUGCUUUCGAUACGGGUUGACUUGAGGAAGGUAGGGGAGAAUGGAAUUCCUGGUGGAGCGGUGGAAUGCGCAGAUAUCAGGAGGAACACCGGUGGCGAAGGCGGGUCUCUGGGCAGUAACUGACGC
rnacentral:rRNA from 11 species